CGCGUGCGCCAUCUUGAGUGAGGGCACGGUGUCCAGGGACGCGGCCAAUAGUACGGGGGCGUCGUAUCGCCUCCCUCGCUCGUGGACUUGCUGCUGCUGGUGCUGCUACUACCUCUGGACAAUGCGCUUCGCAAAGAUGAAGCCGACUCUCGCCCGCGGCUGCAGACAGAAGCCCAAGGAAUUGCAGAAGAAGAAGCCCCUUCUGCCUUCCGCCACAGACAAAGCUCAAUACUGUAAACAAGGCACCAGAAUUUCAAGCCGGAGAAAACAUCUAUAUAGCAAACUAAAAAGGGACCACAUCUGCCCAUAUGAACCUGCCCAGACACGUCAGUCUUCGGAACAUAGGAAGAGGCCUUAUACUGCGUCAGGCCAUUGGCCCAUCUUGCUGUCUGGCAGUGGCUCUCCAGGGCUUCAGGCAGGGAUCUUUCCAGCAGUAACUGGAGAUGCCAGGACUGAACCUGGGACCUUCUGCAUGCAAGGCAGAUGCUCUACCACUUUAUGACAACCCUACCCUAAAACCAACCUCAGUCAACUCACAGAAGGAUGAACAGGAAAAAAAGAGAAAAAACUGGGUGAUUAUGUCACAUCACUUAUUCAUCCCCAUGCCCUCUAUGAGCUGUUAACUCCAGUACAUGCUGAAGGCUGUUCACCUUCCAUUUAGAAGGGAAAGAAACUUUCAGAAAUGAGCGACUGACAAUUUGUCGUAGCUGUGUUCCUGCAGUCUACUUUAGAUUUGCCAUCUGCUCCUUAACGCUGCUGCCUUUGUUCAUGCUUGGCUUUGGCUUAUGUGGGUAUUGGUGUUUUACUGUUGGUUGUUAAG